rnacentral:rRNA from 1 species
GAUGAACGCUAGCUACAGGCUUAACACAUGCAAGUCGAGGGGCAUCAGGAAGAAAGCUUGCUUUCUUUGCUGGCGACCGGCGCACGGGUGAGUAACACGUAUCCAACCUGCCCUUUACUCGGGGAUAGCCUUUCGAAAGAAAGAUUAAUACCCGAUGGCAUAAUGAUUCCGCAUGGUUUCAUUAUUAAAGGAUUCCGGUAAAGGAUGGGGAUGCGUUCCAUUAGGUUGUUGGUGAGGUAACGGCCCACCAAGCCUUCGAUGGAUAGGGGUUCUGAGAGGAAGGUCCCCCACAUUGGAACUGAGACACGGUCCAAACUCCUACGGGAGGCAGCAGUGAGGAAUAUUGGUCAAUGGGCGGUAGCCUGAACCAGCCAAGUAGCGUGAAGGAUGAAGGCUCUAUGGGUCGUAAACUUCUUUUAUAUAAGAAUAAAGUGCAGUAUGUAUACUGUUUUGUAUGUAUUAUAUGAAUAAGGAUCGGCUAACUCCGUGCCAGCAGCCGCGGUAAUACGGAGGAUCCGAGCGUUAUCCGGAUUUAUUGGGUUUAAAGGGAGCGUAGGUGGACUGGUAAGUCAGUUGUGAAAGUUUGCGGCUCAACCGUAAAAUUGCAGUUGAUACUGUCAGUCUUGAGUACAGUAGAGGUGGGCGGAAUUCGUGGUGUAGCGGUGAAAUGCUUAGAUAUCACGAAGAACUCCGAUUGCGAAGGCAGCUCACUGGACUGCAACUGACACUGAUGCUCGAAAGUGUGGGUAUCAAACAGG